UAGCCACGUGAGCAGGACAGAAGUGCACAACAACCAUAUCUUGAUUUCUGUGGACCAGGUGGGGCCCCUGCCAGCCUUGCUAGACAGACCCAGGUGAACAGUCCUUCUAGGGGAUCUCAUCACCAGGCAAGCACGUGGUACGAGAAGAGCAGUCAUUAGGAAGGCCAUUUGGAAAAGCACAUCCUCUCUGUUCACGAUGAAGACUGAUGCUAAGGAAAAAG
rnacentral:lncRNA from 1 species